UCUAGCGUUGGGCACUUAUUCUAACAAUUGGUAUCAGAGCCAUACUCUUUGAAAGACUUAACAGUUUGAGAGAAAUGAUCUAUGGCUUCUACUCGCAAUCUUUAUGCAGGAAUUGGUGAGGGACAAUCAACCACGAGGCUACCACUCUUCGAUGGCACAAAUUACACCUAUUGGAAGGAGCGGACGUGGCCAAAACAUAUAAAGAUCGGCGUAGUCGCUCAUAGGUACAUAUCUAUCCGGAUAGAGGAUAGUCUAGGCCGAUUCAUAGAUAGAUCUCUCUCCAUAUAGAUAGGUAUCUCCGUGGAUAGAGAUAAAGAUAGGGAUCCAUCUAGAUCUUGAUUCACUAUUUCCAUAUUUUUUCUUGAUUCUGAUUGAUUGCCUUUUUUUUGACGACAAGUUUUAAAUCUUAAUGCAGGCAAGGAAACAUCGUUUUUCAAUUAUUACUUGCUGGGUCGGAGCGUAGACGAGCGAGCAGAGCCAAGGAAAGAGGGAAGCCCGUCAUAGAGCAGUCGACUAGAAGUAGAAGACUGCUGGCCUGAGAGAAG
rnacentral:lncRNA from 1 species